GCCCGGUUAGCUCAGUUAGUAGAGCGUUGGACUAUUAACUCAACGGUCAAGAGUUCAAGUCUCUUAUCGGGGGCU